rnacentral:rRNA from 1 species
CCUACGGGCGGCAGCAGUGAGGAAUAUUGGUCAAUGGGCGCGAGCCUGAACCAGCCAAGUCGCGUGAGGGAAGACGGUCCUAUGGAUUGUAAACCUCUUUUGUCGGGGAGCAAAAGACGCCACGUGUGGCGUUCCGAGAGUACCCGAAGAAAAAGCAUCGGCUAACUCCGUGCCAGCAGCCGCGGUAAUACGGAGGAUGCGAGCGUUAUCCGGAUUGAUUGGGUUUAAAGGGUGCGCAGGCGGAAGAUCAAGUCAGCGGUAAAAUUGAGAGGCUCAACCUCUUCGAGCCGUUGAAACUGGUUUUCUUGAGUGAGCGAGAAGUAUGUGGAAUGCGUGGUGUAGCGGUGAAAUGCAUAGAUAUCACGCAGAACUCUGAUUGCGAAGGCAGCAUACCGGCGCUCAACUGACGCUCAUGCACGAAAGUGUGGGUAUCGAACAGGAUUAGAUACCCCUGUAGUC